GAAUUUUCAAUCAUUUUACCGUCAAUUUGGCCUUAUCUGCAAAAGGUUGACCAAGGGGUCAAUGCUCAGUUUCUGGGUUUGGUAGUUAGCGGUUACAGCAUUUUUCAGAUUAUUGGUGCCAUUAUGUUUGGUGCUUGGUGCCAGUACCGUCCAGCUAUCGAGCCACUGUUGGCAAGCACUUCUCUUCGCUUUAUUGGGCAUUUCUUGUACCUGUGUGCUGAAAACUAUCCCGGUUUUGAUGGGAAAAUGCUGAUACUAUUUGCAAGGCUUACUAUCGGUUUUUCAGCAGAUGUAGCUGUUUGUCGCACUGUGGCUUCCCAGUCAUUUGCGAAAAACGAGAAGAACAAUGCAUUGAAAGUCCUGACUGCAUUUGAAGAAUUUGGGUCUACAUUAGGUCCAGGUGGGUAGAUUAUUUUUAUCUGUGACUGUUUUUUGCUGAAGUACUGAAUUUGAAAAUUCAUUCGAAAGAAUUCUCUUUCUUUCGACAGAUAAGAAAUUUGAAAAUUCUCUAAGACAGAUAAGUUAGAUUAGACUGAAUCGUAUCUGUUAAUCCUGUCAGGUCCAUUGCAUGUAACGAUGCUGUAUCUAAGGAUCAC